rnacentral:rRNA from 1 species
GAUGAACGCUGGCGGCGUGCCUAAUACAUGCAAGUCGAGCGAACAGACCAGGAGCUUGCUCCUGUGAGGUUAGCGGCGGACGGGUGAGUAACACGUGGAUAACCUACCUAUCAGACUUGGAUAACUGCUUGAAACCGGAGCUAAUACGGGAUAAUAUAUUUAACCGCAAGGGUCAGGAGGGGAUGGCGGUUUUGCUGUUACUGAUUCAUGGAUGCGCGCCGCCUUAGCUAGUUGGUAAGGUAAGGGCGUGCCAAGGCAACGAGGCGUAGCCGACCUGAGAGGGUGGUCGGCCCCGCUGGAACGGGGACGCGGUCCAGACUACUACGGGAGGCAGCAGUAGGGAGGCGUGUGUAAUGGGCGGGGGGGUGGCGGGGCGACGCGGCGUCGGUGGUGAGAGGCUGCGGAUCGUGUAGCUCUGUUAUGAGGGAGGAACAAAUGUGUAAGUCACUGUGCACGUCUUGACGGUACCUGAUCAGAAAGCCACGGCUAACUACGUG